UUGUGAAUAGAAACAGCUUAAUGAACUGGAGCCAGGGUGGGGAAUUUUGGGACUCCUGCUGUUCUGCUUACAGUGUUUUGCAGGAGAGUUUAAGGCUGAGGAAUGACACCAACUGGAUUCACAGAACAAUCUGCUCCCGUUUUCACGAACUCCAAAUUAUUUUCCUUCUCACAUGCAAAGUUGUACCAAGAGUUGCAUUUAAAAACCCAUCUGCUGUCCAUAUUAUAUCAAUAGAAAGAAGUCUAAAAUUUUUCUAAAAUAUUCCGGUUACUCACUCCAUACUGCUGUCAUCUGUCUUUCAACUACAAGCCAUUUCUUGUAGUUGCACUCAAAAUCUUCCCUCCACCAACAGAUGAAACUCUUAGUUGCUAAAAGUGCAAAACUGGGAACAGGAUGCUAGAAACUAGCAGUGCCUGCUUUUCAAACGUGUUUCUGAUAGUAUAAAAUACAUAAAUUGAUGCAAUAAUUUUUCCUUACUGAGUGUGGGAAAUAGUAAUAAAUUACUUUAAAAGUUUUCUCGUGUUUUUUUUUUUUCAUUAUGCUAAUAAUAUUUUGAAAUCUCAACAAUGUCUAUAAAUGUCUGAAUAUAAUUUUACAUGCAAAUAUGUAGUGUGUGAGAUGUAUGAUAAGCGCCGGGCACAGGGUGUUUGUAGGAAACAAACUGGUGCCUGCAGCAGCAGUUUGUUGUGGCUGUGCUGGAAUAACAGAUUCAAGGGAUCUUAUUUGUCAGUGCCUCACCUUGAGGGACCCAGCGGGAGGUGUAGGGGCUGGGUGGUUAUGAAGCGGCAGCUGUUGAGGUGGCAGCAGAUGUGCCUGACGAAGAGCCAGCUAGAGCGCUGCGAUCCACAGCCAUAGGUGGGACCCUCUCCUGAUAUGUGACCUACCGCAAGCUACCCUGAAUCGUAUGAUGACAAUGUUAUCGCUGCCACAUCUCUGGAAACCAGUUACUCAUAAAUAUAUGGACUAUUUACUUGAGAAGCUGAGAGUGAGCUAGAAACAUUGAUGAAGCCUCUAUUCUGUGAGGUGGAGGAGAGUGUGGACAGCCGUAUUUGCUGGAGUGGUGAACCAAAUUGCCUUGACUGGAACCAUUAUUCACUUGCACCUUUGACCGCAGCAGACAGGUAGGAGAACAAGGAAAGGAUGGGUUCAAAUGAACUUGGGGAGCAGGCCUCAGUGAAUAUUUUUUUGUUCUCAGAGGGCUUCAACCAGAAGUCAUUCACACUUAAAUAGUAACUGAUUACAUGUCCUUUUGUCACCUCUUGGUGAAACCAGAGGCAUCUCUCUUUCUGGAAAGGUUAUGUUUUUAUUAAUUCAGAAGUGCUGUCUUUGCUUUGACCAUAUAUUUGGUUUGCCACUUUCCCUUCUUUGUGCAGUUCUUGCUUCAAGAGUCCAAGGAGCACGCUUUUUGAAAGAAUAGGCAGAAAAAUGUACUUGUCUAAAAUAAAAGAAAAAAAUGGUGGAUGAGGUUUUGAUAUCUGAAAGAGGUAUUGUGGUUUCUUUUUUUUUUUUUAAUUAUUAUUUAAUUUUUAAAUGGCCUUGAAUUAUAAUCUGGUGAUCUGUUUGGAUCAUCUCACCAUUUCAAGUGCGCCAUUGAUGAUACUGUGAUUAAGGUUUCUUUUUUUCCUCUGGGUCUUGAACACGUGGGUUCAUGCAAACUACAGUUGUGAAAAUGAUGACAGUGUAGUAUCACAAUACUCAAGUUAGCUUACAGUUAGCGGAUUCUCCGUAGCAGUUAUCUAUGACAUAAUAGACUACAGAGGCCAGUGUAUGCUGUCCGGAAAAGCUCUGUGUUCUGCUGCUCAUUGCAGCUCCAUGUUUGAGUUGGUAGUUACAGGUUGGACAGGUUUCACAUAAGCUUUGUCUCAGGGCCUGUACCAUAAAGGCAGAGUUACUUUGUUGCAAUACUGAGAAUCUCCUCUUCUUUAAUCUUCUGUGUACUGGCACAUCCUUGGUGUUCAGAGAGUUAUGUUAGCCUUCUGAAUUUAACAUGACUGACUUAAAAUAGUGAAAAGUUAGGAAAAUAUUUCAUCCUUCUCAUUGGCCCUCUCUGUUUUACAUUUUUUACCAUUUAUAUGUAACCCCGAGAGCUAGACAUGUACAGAAGACAUCAGAUGUUCUCAUGCUAUAUGAUGAUCUCAGGAGAAGGUGUUUAAAGAAAACGCAUAGUGUAUUUUGACAUAAAACUCUAUUGUUUUUUCAGAACUGUAAAUGGGAUUGGACCUAUAUUUCAUUCUGUAUGAACUGAAGGAGGGAGUGGAGGGGGUUAAAUUGAAAUGGGCUUAAACCUUUUCUCAUACCUGGAACUGGUCCCAAAUAUUCCACAGUCCGCAGUGGUGCUAUAUGGGAUAUUUCUUCCUUUGGAUCCACAUCAAAGUUGUGUCAAUCUGCAUCGCUCUAUUUCCCCUCUGCAGUCUCUGAGAGCUGAGACAUCUUCCCAUGUAGCCUAGGAUCAGAGCUGGAUGAGAAGAGUGUUACCAGGGAACAUGCUGGCAAAAGCAAUUCAUUGUCCUCGCCUGUAGAAUUUACAGUGAAAGUUCAGCAGGGAAGCAAACUGUCCUGAUGCACCCCCGUGCUCUGCUCCCAGAUUGGGAAGCAUUAAUAGUGUGUGAAAUUUAUAAGAAGGAGUUUUGGAAUACUGCAGUAUGAAAAACUAGCCAUGUCCCAACUCACCAGGCAAGAUUUAAGUGUAAAACUGAGAACUUUGGUGCCCAUCCUCUAAAAUGGGCUUCGAGCAUUGAUUCUUCAGGUUUCAUUAGUGUGUAACGUAAUGGUACUUCUACGCAUUGGGCCCUUGUUGCUGUGGCUCUCCUGUAUGCUGAAAAUUCCCCUUAUAAUGUGUCAGCCUAGUAAUGGUCUUUACUUUUUCAUUUGGGACUGCUAAACUUUAGAAUAAAUGCUCUCAAUUAACAUAAGUCAGAUAAAUGUUAUUGUAACUGUGACAGUACAUAUCACUACCGUGUGUGCUAAGGACAUUAAAGCCAGCACUUAAUACUGGAAGAGUAGUAAAUAUGCUGUAUGAGCUAAUGGACGGAUCACAUUAAGAAACUGAAGCCUAUAUUGCCUGCUUUAUGAGUGUGAACUUGCAGUUUGAUCCCACUGCUAGAUGCAGGGCGAUAGGAAGGCGCGUUUCCCCUGAAGACAGGAGCACGCAAUGCUGCCAAACCAGCAGUCCCGGGUGCCCUGCAGGGUAUGAUUCUUGCAGCAGAGAGCGAUUGCACAAGCUGUGAUGUGCAGGACUAGCUGCUCUAUUUUGGCUGAGAAUCCUUUGAGGAUAUUGGUCCCGAUUCCCUACUGUCUGAAACCUUUUGCUAUUUAUACCUGGGUAAAGUGAAUGCCUGGCGAGCAUAAAAUGCCACUACGCUAGUGCUAAAGGAGCUGUUAUCCACUUUGCCCAAAUAUAAAUGACUAUGCAAAAGGUGAAGCAAGUUCAAGGUCUCUCUUUUUGUUAUAGCAUUACCCCUAGAUCCUGCUGCUCGUGGCUGAAUGUGUGAACAGGAGGCUGUGCUUCAGUGGUGGUGGUUUCAGCUCAAGACGUGCAAAUGCAGCGAGAAAGAAGAACACUCAUUUCUUUUCCCACUAUUAGUCAGAGAGAAAAACACGUUUCUUCUUCCCUGAGAAGAGUACAGGGGCAACACAUUUAUUUGCCAGUUUUCUGACAGUCUGAGGUAGAAGAAAGAUACUUGAAAACAUCUGGCAGAGGCAG
ensembl:lncRNA